AUUGAACGCUGGCGGCAGGCCUAACACAUGCAAGUCGAACGAGUGACGGGAGGGUGAGUACAGUGUAUGAAGCUGCCCGCGGGAGGGGGGUAACAACUGGGAAAGGUAGCUAUAACCGCAUACAAUCUGAGGUGACCAGAUGGGGUUAGCUAGUAGGUGGGGUAACGGCUCACCUAGGCGACGAUCCCUAGCUGGUCUGAGAGGAUGACCAGCCACACUGGAACUGAGACACGGUCCAGACUCCUACGGGAGGCAGCAGUGGGGAAUAUUGCACAAUGGGCGCAAGCCUGAUGCAGCCAUGCCGCGUGUAUGAAGAAGGCCUUCGGGUUGUAAAGUACUUUCAGCGAGGAGGCGUUACCCGCAGAAGAAGCACCGGCUAACUCCGUGCCAGCAGCCGCGGUAAUAC
rnacentral:rRNA from 1 species